rnacentral:rRNA from 1 species
CAGUAGCCGCGGGAAUACGUAGGGUGCAAGCGUUAAUCGGAAUUACUGGGCGUAAAGCGUGCGCAGGCGGUUUGUUAAGACAGAUGUGAAAUCCCCGGGCUCAACCUGGGAACUGCAUUUGUGACUGGCGAGCUAGAGUAUGGCAGAGGGGGGUAGAAUUCCACGUGUAGCAGUGAAAUGCGUAGAGAUGUGGAGGAAUACCGAUGGCGAAGGCGGCAACCUGGUCCUUGACUGACGCUGAGGCGCGAAAGCGUGGGGAGCAAACAGGAUUAGAUACCCCAGUAGUCCCUGUCUCUUAUAC